rnacentral:rRNA from 1 species
UGGGGAAUAUUGGACAAUGGGCGCAAGCCUGAUCCAGCCAUGCCGCGUGAGUGAUGAAGGCCCUAGGGUUGUAAAGCUCUUUCGCACGCGACGAUAAUGACGGUAGCGUGACAAGAAGCCCCGGCUAACUUCGUGCCAGCAGCCGCGGUAAUACGAAGGGGGCAAGCGUUGUUCGGAAUCACUGGGCGUAAAGCGCACGUAGGCGGAUCGUUAAGUCAGGGGUGAAAUCCCGAGGCUCAACCUCGGAACUGCCUUUGAUACUGGCGAUCUUUGAGUCCGGGAGAGGUGAGUGGAAUUCCGAGUGUAGAGGUGAAAUUCGUAGAUAUUCGGAAGAACACCAGUGGCGAAGGCGGCUCACUGGCCCGGUACUGACGCUGAGGUGCGAAAGCGUGGGGAGCAAACAGGAUUAGAUACCCCCGUAGUCC